UACGUAGGGGGCAAGCGUUGUCCGGAUUUAUUGGGCGUAAAGAGCGUGUAGGCGGCCAGAUAGGUCGGUUGUGAAAACUGGAGGCUCAACCUCCAGACGUCGACCGAAACCAUCUGGCUAGAGUCCGGAAGAGGAGAGUGGAAUUCCUGGUGUAGCGGUGAAAUGCGCAGAUAUCAGGAGGAACACCGGUGGCGAAGGCGCACAUCUGGCCCGAUACUGACGCUGAGGCGCGAAAGCUAGGGGAGCAAACGGG
rnacentral:rRNA from 1 species